UGCCAUCAUUUAGCUGGGCACUCUAAAGGGACUGCCGGUGUUAAACCGGAGGAAGGUGGGGACGACGUCAAGUCCUCAUGGCCUUUAUGUCCAGGGCUACACACGUGCUACAAUGGGCGGCACAAAGGGCAGCGACACCGCGAGGUGAAGCAAAUCCCAAAAAACCGCUCUCAGUUCGGAUCGGAGUCUGCAACUCGACUUCGUGAAGGUGGAAUCGCUAGUAACCGUGGAUCAGCAUGCCACGGUGAAUACGUUCCCGGGCCUUGUACACACCGCCCGUCACACCACGAAAGUCUGCUGUACCAGAAGUCGUUGGGCUAACCCGCCUUGGCGGGAGGCAGGCGCCUAAGGUACGGCCGGUAAUUGGGGUG
rnacentral:rRNA from 1 species